rnacentral:snRNA from 1 species
AUACCUACCUGGCAGGGGUGAGACCAUGAGCAGGAAGGUGGUUCGCCAAAGGCCAGGCUCAGUCAUUACACUUCGUCUGUGCUGACCCUUGCGAAUUCCCCAAAUGCAGGAAUCUCGACUGCAUAAUUUNNGGUGCUUUGUUGAAAGAGA